rnacentral:rRNA from 1 species
AGCGAACGCUGGCGGUAGGCCUAACACAUGCAAGUCGAACGGCAGCACAGUAAGAGCUUGCUCUUACGGGUGGCGAGUGGCGGACGGGAGAGGAAUACAACGGAACUUACUUUUUCGUGGGGGAAAACGUAGGGAAACUUACGCUAACAUAGCAUAAGACCUACGGGUGAAUGUAGGGGAUCUUUGGAAUUUGCGCGAUUGAAUGUGCAGCUGUCGAAUAGGAUCGUUGGGGGGGUAAAGGCCCACCAAGGCGACGAUCCGUAGCGGGUCUGAGAGGAUGACCGGCCACACUGGAACGGAAACACGGUCCGGACUCCUACGGGAGGCGGCGUUGGGGAAUAUUGGACAAUGGGGGCAGUCCUAAUCCGCCCAGACCGCGUAGGUAAGAAGGGCCUUCGGGUUUUAAGGCCUUUUUGUUGGGAAGAAAAAGUAUCAGGUUAAAACCCCGAUGUUCUGACGGUACCCAAAGAGUAAGCACCGGCUAACUUCGUG